AACGAACGCUGGCGGCGCGCUUAACACAUGCAAGUCGUACGUGAAACCCCCUUCGGGGGGUGGAAAGUGGCGCACGGGUGAGUAACACGUGAGUAACCUGCCCUCCGGCCUGGGAUAACCGCGGGAAACUGUGGCUAAUACCGGGUACGUUUAUCGGGUCGCGAGAUCCGAUUGAGAAAGGUGGCCUCUGCUUGCAAGCUACCGCCGGAGGAUGGGCUCGCGCACCAUUAGGUAGUUGGCGGGGUAACGGCCCACCAAGCCUGAGAUGGUUAGCUGGUCUGGGAGGAGGGCCCGCCACACUGGCACUGAGAUACGGGCCAGACUCCUACGGGAGGCAGCAGUGAGGAAUCUUGCGAAAUGGGCGAAAGCCUGACGCAGCGACGCCGCGUGGGUGAUGAAGGCCUUCGGGUCGUAAAGCCCUUUCGGAGGGAACGAAUGGGCCGGUGGCUAAUAUCCACUGGCAUUGACGGUACCCUCAGAAGAAGCACCGGCUAACUCCGUGCCAGCCGCCGCCGUAAUAC
rnacentral:rRNA from 1 species